rnacentral:rRNA from 1 species
AUGGGCAAGAUGAUGGUGCCGUCGGAGGCCGAGCCGUCGUCGUCGCCGCCGCAGCCCAAGCGGCUCUACCAGAGCUGGAAAGGAAACAACGUAUUCCUGUGCGGAGGACGGCUUAUACUCGGGCCGGACGCAGCCUCCCUGCUGCUGUCAUCGUUCCUCGUCGCCGGCCCGGCCAUCGUCUUCUGCUACCAGAUGCAGUCCAAGUUCUUCCGCUCCAACGGGCAACCACACAUGCACCGAGCUGCGCUACUGAUUGUUAUCAUCACAACACUAGUGGACCUGUUCUUCCUGUUCAUGACAUCGGCCAGGGACCCAGGAAUAGUGCCACGAAACACAAGAGCCCCGCCGCCUGAAGCUGAUGAACGGAACCUCCCCGCCACACCCUCGAUGGAGUGGAGCGUCGGGGGCACCCCACGGAUGAGGUUUCGCCGUACCAAGGAUGUCAACGUGAAUGGCUUCACAGUGAAGCUCAAGUUUUGCGAGACCUGCCUCAGGUACCGCCCGCCACGAUCCUCGCACUGCUCCAUCUGCAACAACUGCGUCCAGAAGUUUGAUCACCACUGCCCAUGGGUUGGCCAGUGCAUUGGACUCAGGAACUACCGCUACUUCUUUCUGUUCAUCGCCACAUCGACAUUCCUUUGCAUAUCCGUCUUAAUCUUUUCAUGGUUGAAUGUACACGGCGAAAUGCAAGACAACGGAGGCUCUAUCUGGAAGGCCUUGCGCAAGGAAGUCUACUCUUUUGUGCUAAUCAUCUAUACUUCAAUUGUUGUAUGGUUCGUUGGUGGCCUAACAGCAUUGCAUCUCUAUCUGAUCAGUACUAAUCAGACAACAUACGAAAACUUCAGAUACAAUUAUGACAAGAAGGAUAACCCUUACCGAAAGAGCAUUACAAAAAACUUUGCCGAAGUGUUCUUCACCAAGAUCCCUCCUCCAUUGAACGACUUUCGUUCACAUGUAGGUGAGGGUGCACUAGAAGCUGGGUUCUACACUCCAUAUAUUGGGUUGGAUGUGACCAGCACAAGGGAAAAGAUUGAUACAGAUAUGCGAGAGAAGGAAGUACUCGUAGGGGGCAUACAGAUUCCAACAGUAUUGCAGAAUAUAGACUAUGGUUCCUUUGAAGAUGGUCUGUAUGACAAGAACAGGAACAAUGGCAACAAAACAGUGGCUUUUGCUCCAGCUUGGGCACAAAAAGGAAGCGAAGAUGCUGGAACAUCUGCAGCAGCUACCACAGCAUGUAAGGAAGAAACAAGUGAGGACGAUGCUAAGGAAAUUAGUGAUUCAAAUACAAGUUCUGCACGGACAUCUACAGAAGCUAACACAGUAUCUGAGGAAGAAAUAGUUCAGGACGAUGCUAAAGAAACUAACACUCCAGAUAGAAGUUCCGCCCAGUCCUUGAAAGAUAUGAGCUGA